rnacentral:rRNA from 1 species
UAGGGAAUAUUAGAAAUGGACGACAGUCUGAUCUAGCAACACCGCGUGUGCUAAGAAGGCCUUCGGGUUGUAAAGCACUUUUUGGACGGAUUAGAAAGGAAUGUACUUACAGACUAAGUCUAGGCUAACUACGUGCCAGCAGCCGCGGUAACACGUAGGAGGCAAACGUUAUCCGGAUUUACUGGGCGUAAAGCGCGUGUAGGUGGUUCUGUAAGUAGGGCGUGAAAGCUCCUGGCUCAACUGGGAGAGGCCGUUCUAAACUGCAGAGCUAGAGGAUGGUAGAGGGAGGUGGAAUUCCAGGUGUAGCGGUGGAAUGCGCAGAUAUCUGGAGGAACACCAGUGGCGAAGGCGGCCUCCUGGACCAUUCCUGACACUCAGACGCGAAAGCUAGGGUAGCAAACG